GGGCUGAAUCAGAAGGCUUCAGCUCUAAUGAUUGUGAGUUUACUAGCCCAAAAGGCAGCUUUGGCACCCAAUGUUGCAAAAAGCUUGUUGAAUUCGGUGGCAGACAUGGCUAGAACAGAUGCCAAGGAAGGACGCGACAUGCGGUGGCUGCGCAUGUCAGUAAUGACCAUAGUCUCAAUAGUUCAGCUUCAGUGCAUGGAGUCAAUUCCCAAGAAGACUCUAGAUGCCAUGAAUGAAAUCAGG